rnacentral:rRNA from 1 species
CGGACGGGUGAGUAACACGUGGAUAACCUACCUAUAAGACUGGGAUAACUUCGGGAAACCGGAGCUAAUACCGGAUAAUAUAUUGAACCGCAUGGUUCAAUAGUGAAAGACGGUUUUGCUGUCACUUAUAGAUGGAUCCGCGUCGCAUUAGCUAGUUGGUAAGGUAACGGCUUACCAAGGCAACUAUGCGUAGCCGACCUGAGAGGGUGAUCGGCCACACUGGAACUGAGACACGGUCCAG